CAUGCAGAGUGUGGAGGCAAAUUCCUCUCUGAAUUCCUAGUGAGUGCAGUCCAAGUGCUGGAGGGUGAGGAUGAGAAGUUGGGUUAGAAUCUGGAGGAGGGGACAACUUAUCCCAGCCAGCAAAGGCAAUGGGAAACAGGCAGAACCUGUAGCCCAGUUCAUCUCUGUGGUCACCUGCAUGGCACCAGGAAAACAGACUUUGGCUUCUUUAUUUCCAUUAAACCCCAGAGUUUGGAAAAGCAGACCCUCAGACUCCACAGCAGAGCUCCAGAAUGCUGCCCCAGGUUGGACUGGAUGCACUUCCUUUGCCAAAGCUUCUGUGGUGGUCCUGAUGCACUCCCGUGGUCAAGGGUCACCCACCUGAAGACCUGCACCCUUCCACAUCCGCUGAGCAUGAAUCUCCAUGAGAGCAGGACUCCACUGAAGCAGAAAUCCAGAGCCAAGAAAGACACAGGGUUUCCGGGGAUGGCAUUAGCCCAGGGCCCUGUUCAUUGUUUUGUGGAUGUGGAAACCAAAGCCAGAAGGACAGGUGACUUGCUCAGGGGCAUCCAGUCCAGGAGAUCACAUGGCACCUGUACCUUCUUACAGAAUCCUGUGCAAAGGAAGUCAGCCCUGAUGGGUUUCAGCCUGGUAAGUCCUUCCUGCCGCUGAACCACCUGUCUCCCGAGAGGACCUACAGCCAACGCCUCCCACACCAGAUGGCCACCCCCUCCUGCCCCUCCGUAGUGUUCCAGCCAAGGCCAGGCCCGGCAUGGACAGAAGAGGACCUGAGUGGCUGCGGCCAAGGUCAAAGUGGCCAUCUGGACACAGGUAUCAGCAGUGUGGAGGGGCUGCCCCAGAAAUGACUUUAGCGGGGGAGAUGUUUCUCAGGCAUUCAGCUCUUGGUUUUCUAUUGGUCUCCCUUCAAAAUUGCCCCAGCAGGUAGGCAGAGCACCUGAUGGAUGCCUUCAGCAGCA
rnacentral:lncRNA from 1 species